rnacentral:rRNA from 1 species
GAUGAACGCUGGCGGCGUGCCUAAUACAUGCAAGUCGAGCGAAUGGAUUAAGAGCUUGCUCUUAUGAAGUUAGCGGCGGACGGGUGAGUAACACGUGGGUAACCUGCCCAUAAGACUGGGAUAACUCCGGGAAACCGGGGCUAAUACCGGAUAACAUUUUGAACCGCAUGGUUCGAAAUUGGAAGGCGGCUUCGGCUGUCACUUAUGGAUGGACCCGCGUCGCAUUAGCUAGUUGGUGAGGUAACGGCUCACCAAGGCAACGAUGCUUAGCCGACCUGAGAGGGUGAUCGGCCACACUGGGACUGAGACACGGCCCAGAAUCCUACGGGAGGCAGCAGUAGGGAAUCCUCCGCAAUGGACGAAAGUCUGACGGAGCAACGCCGCGUGAGUGAUGAAGGCUUUCGGGUCGUAAAACUCUGUUGUUAGGGAAGAACAAGUGCUAGUUGAAUAAGCUGGCACCUUGACGGUACCUAACCAGAAAGCCACGGCUAACUACGUGCCAGCCGCCGCGGUAA